AGUCUGGUGCCAGCAGCCGCGGUAAUUCCAGCUCCAGUAGCGUAUAUUAAAGUUGUUGCAGUUAAAAAGCUCGUAGUUGGAUUUCUGGUACGUUGAGCCUGACCCGCUCCGGUUACGGUAGUGUGUGUUGGUGCUUGGCUGCCAUCCUUCCAGAGAACUUGCUCUACCCUUCACUGGGCCGGGGCGGCUAUCUGGAACUUUUACUUUGAAAAAAUUAGAGUGUUCAAAGCAGGCUUGCGCUAUGAAUACAUUAGCAUGGAAUAAUAAUUUAGGACUUCGGUUCUAUUUUGUUGGUUUCUAGGACUGAAGUAAUGAUUGAUAGGGAUAGUUGGGGGUGCUAGUAUUCAGCGGCCAGAGGUGAAAUUCUUGGAUUCGCUGAAGACUAACUUAUGCGAAAGCAUUCACCAAGGAUGUCUUCUUUAAUCAAGAACGAAAGUUGGGGGAUCGAAGACGAUCAGAUACCGUCGUAGUCUCAACCAUAAACUAUACCGACUAAGGAUAAGUGAACGUUGCAUUUUCGACAUCAUUCGCACUUUAUGAGAAAUCAAAGUCUUUGGGUUCCGGGGGGAGUAUGGUCGCAAGGCUGAAACUUAAAGGAAUUGACGGAAGGGCACCACCAGGAGUGGAGCCUGCGGCUUAAUUUGACUCAACACGGGAAAACUUACCAGGUCCAGACAUAGUGAGGAUUGACAGAUUGAAGAUCUUUCUUGAUUCUGUGGGUGGUGGUGCAUGGCCGUUCUUAGUUGGUGGAGUGAUUUGUCUGGUUUAUUCCGUUAACGAACGAGACCUCAACCUACUAAAUAGUCCGGCGAACUCUUUUGUUCGUACGGUACUUCUUAGAGGGACUAUCGGUGUGUAGCCGAUGGAAGUUUGAGGCAAUAACAGGUCUGUGAUGCCCUUAGAUGUUCUGGGCCGCACGCGCGCUACACUGACUACUUCAUCGAGUUUACAACCUUGACCGAGAGGUCUGGGUAAUCUUUUAAAAGGUAGUCGUGCUGGGGAUAGAUUAUUGCAAUUUUUAAUCUUCAACGAGGAAUUCCUAGUAAACGCAAGUCAUCAACUUGCAUUGAUUACGUCCCUGCCCUUUGUACACGCCGCCCGUCGCUACUACCGAUUGAAUGAUUUAGUGAGCUUCGGGGAUUGCUGCGUUCGCGGGGGCAACCCUGUGGGCGUGAUGAGAACCGCUACAAACUUGACCAUUUAGAGGAAGUAAAAGUCGUAACAAGG
rnacentral:rRNA from 1 species